GACGUAGGGCGCAAGCGUUGUCCGGAUUUAUUGGGCGUAAAGAGCUCGUAGGCGGCUCGUUGCGUCGGCUGUGAAAACCCGCAGCUCAACUGUGGGCUUGCAGCCGAUACGGGCGGGCUGGAGUUCGGUAGGGGAGACUGGAAUUCCUGGUGUAGCGGUGAAAUGCGCAGAUAUCAGGAGGAACACCGGUGGCGAAGGCGGGUCUCUGGGCCACUACUGACGCUGAGAAGCGAAAGCGUGGGGAGCGAACAGG
rnacentral:rRNA from 1 species